rfam:Neotoma lepida isolate 417 scaffold_591, whole genome shotgun sequence.
UGGGGUGUAGCUCAGUUGGUAGGGUGUUUGUCUAGCAUGCACAAAGCCCUGGGUUCAGUAGCCAGCACCACAA